UUCAGUGCAUAUUGCAAACUGAAAGAGCUAUUGUGCUAGGAGCCUUUGAGAUAAAUCUGAUAAAAUCUGCUCCACGUGUAAUUGGACACCUUGGGAAGGCAUUUGAAUGCGCUCUUGUUGGCAGCAGCUCUACUUGUUUAUAUUGGUUGAGGGAGGCCUUAGAGGAAGGAAACAUAUGACAUUUUGCUUUUGAUAAGAUGGAGAUGAGGCUUUUUUAGUGAAUCUAGAUAGUUAGAUUGUGCACGCAAACAUAUGACCUGUGCCUGCCAUUUGACCUAGCUAGAUUGUAUGUGUGUUGUUCCUUGUGUAAUGGUGACUUGUCAUGAAUUAUGCAAGCAGACUUGGUAA